UGAAGAAUACGCUCGGUUCACUCCAACCCAUGUGAACGUUACCAAACUGUUGCCUCGGCGGGAUCUCUGACGGGGUGCGUCGCAGCCCCGGACCAAGGCGCCCGCCGGAGGACCAACCAAAACUCUUUUUGUAUACCCCCUCGCGGGUUUUUUAUAAUCUGAGCCUUCUCGGCGCCUCUCGUAGGCGUUUCGAAAAUGAAUCAAAACUUUCAACAACGGAUCUCUUGGUUCUGGCAUCGAUGAAGAACGCAGCGAAAUGCGAUAAGUAAUGUGAAUUGCAGAAUUCAGUGAAUCAUCGAAUCUUUGAACGCACAUUGCGCCCGCCAGUAUUCUGGCGGGCAUGCCUGUCCGAGCGUCAUUUCAACCCUCGAACCCCUCCGGGGUUUUUGGCGUUGGGGAUCGGCCCUGCCUCUUGGCGGUGGCCGUCUCCGAAAUACAGUGGCGGUCUCGCCGCAGCCUCUCCUGCGCAGUAGUUUGCACACUCGCAUCGGGAGCGCGGCGCGUCCACAGCCGUUAAACACCCAACUUCUGAAAUGUUGACCCUCCGGAUCAGGUAGGAAUACCCCGCUGAACUUAAGCAUUAUCAAUAAGCGGGAGGAACC
rnacentral:rRNA from 1 species